AGAGUUUGAUCAUGGCUCAGAAUGAACGCUAGCGGCGUGCUUAACACAUGCAAGUCGUACGAGAACUCUUUAGCUUGCUAAAGAUAGUAAAGUGGCGCACGGGUGAGUAACGCGUGGGUAAUCUACCUCUGAAUUUGGGAUAACUCCGCGAAAGCGGGGCUAAUACCGGAUAAUAUUUCAGGAUCUUCGGGUUUUGAAAUCAAAAGUGGCCUCUACAUGUAAGCUACUGUUUGGAGAUGAGCCCGCGUACCAUUAGCUUGUUGGUAGGGUAAUGGCCUACCAAGGCUACGAUGGUUGGCUGGUCUGAGAGGAUGAUCAGCCACACUGGAACUGACACACGGUCCAGACUCCUACGGGAGGCAGC
rnacentral:rRNA from 1 species